GACGUAGGGGGCCAGCGUUGUUCGGAAUUACUGGGUGUAAAGGGUUCGUAGGCGGUGUGGCAAGUCGGGGAGUGAAAUCUCUGGGCUCAACCCAGAGGCUGCUUCCGAAACUGCUGUGCUUGAGUGUGGGAGAGGCGCGUGGAAUUGCAGGUGUAGCGGUGAAAUGCGUAGAUAUCUGCAGGAACACCCGUGGCGAAAGCGGCGCGCUGGACCACUACUGACGCUGAAGAAACGAAAGCUAGGGGAGCAAACAGG
rnacentral:rRNA from 1 species